rnacentral:rRNA from 1 species
CCUACGGGUGGCAGCAGUGGGGAAUAUUGGACAAUGGGCGAAAGCCUGAUCCAGCCAUGCCGCGUGUGUGAAGAAGGCCUUCGGGUUGUAAAGCACUUUCAGUGGGGAAGAAAGCCUUGGGGCUAAUACCCUCGAGGAAGGACAUCACCCACAGAAGAAGCACCGGCUAACUCCGUGCCAGCAGCCGCGGUAAUACGGAGGAUGCGAGCGUUAAUCGGAAUUACUGGGCGUAAAGCGCGCGUAGGCGGUCUGAUAAGCCGGUUGUGAAAGCCCCGGGCUCAACCUGGGAACGGCAUCCGGAACUGUCAGGCUAGAGUGCAGGAGAGGAAGGUAGAAUUCCCGGUGUAGCGGUGAAAUGCGUAGAGAUCGGGAGGAAUACCAGUGGCGAAGGCGGCCUUCUGGACUGACACUGACGCUGAGGUGCGAAAGCGUGGGUAGCAAACAGGAUUAGAUACCCUUGUAGUC